ACUGUAUGUCACUGGCAAGUGCGAGUCUUCGUUCAACUUUGUUGUUGAUAAGGCAGCAAGCAUGACCCACAGUUCGUGGAAGAAAUAACAGUUGGACUGUGUAUCCAACACCAAUGGUUUCCAAAUUACUGAAGUAAACAGUUGAAUAGAUCCACCUCAAAAUGACUUGGGACUGGGAAGACCUAGCCACGCAGAUACUUUCUAUGAUAUUUUUGUUGACUUUCACUCUUAUUUUGAUCGUCAUAGCUUGGAUGAUCAUGUGGCACCUGUUUUUCUCCAAAAUUCGCUUUGUCAGAGAAAUUAUCUUCCCUGACAAUGAUGGAGCUAAAAGUGACCCUAGCAAGAAGGCGGAGCUGAGGAGUCGGAGAGAGAAACGCCAGAGAAAAGACUCUUAACGUUGCGUCUCACUCCUAGUGUGUGGAUGAAUUUCUGAUGUUUGUGAUUUGCUUGUGUGAAAAGUCAACAUCUUUUUGUGCAAUUGAAGUUGAAGAUUACUGUGAAUUAUUUAUAAUUUAUAGCAAUAGGGAGAAAUCAGUACAUGAACUCCACCUCCAUGAAACCGUCUUACAAAAUUUCUAUCUGCUGUUUUCUGUUUACUUACAGUUUACCGGUAUUGAGAUGGAAAACGUUCUUCGAUUGAUGUGUUCGUCUACAACUACAAUGUAGAGAUGUAGCCUGACAACUGAAAGUUUUUAGGGAGAUGAUUUAUAUUUUGAUGGCUUCUGUUUUUAGCUGUCGAUUUGUGAAGCUUCUUUUAUAUAGUACUUUUAUAUAUAUAUAUAGUGGCUGACUUUAUUCAAUUGUUUCAUUUAUAUAUGCCACAAUACCAUCAUUAUCUAGCGAAAGCAAGCUAAAUUUGAUACCAUUAAUAUGUUUAAGUAAGUGCAGCUGUUAUUACAAGUUGUAAGAAGAAAAUUGCUUGACAGCAGAAAAACCCUUUACGAAUACAUGUGCUGUAUUUUUAUAUAAUAGCAACAUUAGACAUCCAUAGCACAGUGGUAGUGUUAGAACAGCUCUUGUAUAUAUUAAUGAACAAUGAGUCAUUCCAGUCUUUCUUUUUUAACUCUUGUAAAUAUACUGCCGUCAUUUUUUAAAAUACAGUAAAUGCAGCCAAAAUAAAUGUUGUUACCAAUAAAACAUUUGCUUGAAAGAUAAUAAAAAAGUUAUCAGAAA